AGAACACACUGCAACUGCCUCUGCAACGCUAUGCUGCAAAGGAAACGCAGCGCUUCAUUGGAAAUUAAUGUAGUUCCGGUUUACCAAAAUGCUAUGACGCUGUCGGUGUGUUCGAGGCGUAAGAGCAGUGACUCCGUCGGUGUGUUCGAGGCGUAAGAGCAGUGACUCCGUCGGUGUGUUCGAGGCGUAAGGGCAGGGGACAGCACAGUGACUCUGUCGGUGUGUUCGAGGCGUAAGAGCAGGGGAGAGCAGUGACUCUGUCGGUGUGUUCGAGGCGUAAGGGCAGGGGAGAGCAGUGACUCUGUCGGUGUGUUCGAGGCGUAAG
ensembl:lncRNA